GGGUCUUCAAGCAAACAUAUCAUAGAUUCUAAAGAAUGCUUCCACCCAGAACGUGGGGAAAAACAGUUUGCUAGAAUUUUAACACGGAAAUCAAGAAAGACAUCGUGUAGGUCACGAUGAUCAUCAAUCUUCAUUCGCUUACCAUUCCCAAAUAGAAGUAUAUCUCCCAGUCCAUAAGUGCCAUAUUCAUUUGAAUCUCUAACCAAACCCACCAGCCUCUCUGUAACUGUUAACACUGCAAUAUUAGUAGGAGCACAUGUUACUGUUCUGCAUUUCAUCCUAUAGAGUGCAAAUAGUAAUGUAGCAACCGUCUUUGUUUUCCCAGUCCCAGGAGGCCCCCAUAUUUGUUUGAUACUAUUCUGAUGAUGACACUCCCUUGCAGCGAUACAGCUUAGCACUGCAGCCUUUUGAGAGUCAUUUAGAUCAAAAGAACUGACCAUGGGCUCCGAGUUUGAUACUGAAUCAGAGCUGCAGAGGGCACAUUCUUCCCCAGCCUGUAAGAGAUAGUGUCGUUGUAAAGACUCAAAGGAUGGAAUAAAGGAACCUGGUACACGAAGGAGAAAGGAAAGGUAGGAGGAAGAAUUGAGAAGAAGAGUUAAUUUUAAGGCAUAAGGAGAAGUGAAGAGAGAAAAGAAGAAGACUUGCGGUGGAAGAAUUGAAGCUGUUUUGAUGUCGUAAAAUUAAGGAAGUUAAAAACGUGAAAGAGUAGGCAUAGGGAAGACCAAUGGCCAAGUAAUGGUAUAUUUAAAACCAGCUUUGAGUGGGAGAUUCAAGUACACUUUCAUCAAGACUCUUUGGUCCAAGAGUCCUUGUAUUUUUAUUAUUUGUUUUCCCUGAUGAUGGAUUUUAUUUUAUUUUUUUAAUAUACUUUACCAUUCUUAUUUGAGACAA